CGAACAUGUGACCGACCGAACCGGAAGAUAACCGUGCAGAGAAAGAACAGAGGCUGGUAACGGAGAGAUGGCAGCCGCGGCUGUGGCUGAGUUUCAAAGAGCUCGGUCUCUUAUUGGAACUGACCGGAACGCUUCCAUCGAUAUUUUACACUCUAUAGUGAAACGGGACAUCCAGGACAGCGAUGAGGAAGCGGUUCGUGUUAAGGAGCAGAGCAUCUUGGAGCUGGGCGGGCUGCUGGCGAAGACCGGGCAAGCAGCAGAGCUCGGAGGCCUCCUGAAGUAUGUGCGCCCUUUCCUCAACUCCAUCUCCAAGGCAAAAGCAGCCCGGCUGGUCCGCUCCCUGUUGGACUUGUUCCUGGAUAUGGAAGCAGCCACAGGUCAGGAGGUAGAGCUUUGUCUGGAGUGCAUUGAGUGGGCCAAGGCUGAGAAGAGGACCUUCCUCCGACAGGCACUCGAGGCUCGACUUAUCUCUCUCUAUUUCGACACAAAGUGCUACCAGGAAGCUCUACAACUUGGCUCCCAGUUGCUACAGGAGCUCAAGAAGAUGGAUGACAAGGCCCUGCUGGUGGAGGUUCAGCUGCUGGAGAGCAAGACGUACCACGCGCUCAGUAACCUGCCAAAGGCCCGUGCUGCCCUCACCUCUGCCAGGACAACUGCCAAUGCCAUCUACUGCCCACCCAAACUCCAAGCAGCUUUAGACAUGCAGUCAGGGAUCAUUCAUGCAGCAGAGGAGAAAGACUGGAAGACGGCGUAUUCGUACUUUUAUGAGGCCUUUGAGGGCUACGACUCGAUUGACAGCCCCCGAGCCAUCACAGCACUCAAAUACAUGCUGCUCUGCAAAAUCAUGCUCAAUGCCCCAGAGGACGUCCAGGCCCUUGUCAGUGGCAAGCUGGCUCUGAGGUACGCUGGCAGACAGACAGACUCCCUGAAAUGUGUGGCACAAGCCAGUAAGAACCGGUCGCUUGCAGACUUUGAACAGGCACUAACAGAGUACAAAGCAGAGUUAAGGGAUGACCCCAUCAUCAGCACCCACCUGACAAAGCUGUAUGACAACCUGCUCGAGCAGAACCUCAUCAGGGUCAUUGAGCCUUUCUCCAGGGUGCAGAUUACACAUGUCUCCUCACUUAUCAAACUCCCUAAGGGAGACGUAGAGAGGAAAUUAUCUCAGAUGAUUCUGGAUCAGAAGUUUCAUGGUAUUUUGGACCAAGGUGAAGGUGUGCUGAUCGUCUUCGAUGAGCCAGUGGUGGACAAGACAUAUGAGGCAGCUCUGGAGACCAUUCAGAAUAUGAGCAAAGUGGUCGACUCACUUUACAACAAAGCAAAGAAACUUACAUAAGGAUGAUGUCGGCCAAAGCCUAGAAGACAGCCACAAAGAGAUCUGAAUAGAAGCCAUUUAUACAAAUCAACCAAAUUACCGUAAAUUCCGGACUAAGGAGCGCACCUGAUUAAAGGCCGCAUGCUCUAAUUUUAGAAAGAAAACCAAUUUUGUACUUGUACAGGCCGCACCGAUGUUAAGCCGUGGGUGUCCCACGUAUUAUGAUUUGCACAGAAAGAUAUUACAGUGAGAAGAUCUGUCUGUCCUGUCAGGAGUGAUUUGGGCCAGUCAGUUCUUCGUUCUCCCACCUCAAUCUGGGAGGGACGGCAGGGGGGAGGAGGAUGAGAAAAUUACUAACAUUCAACCUAGCAACCAAACCAACCAGUUGUCCAGAUAAAGAUAACACCCCCCACACACAGAAGAAGAAUCAGACAGGGUGGACUCGGCAACCCUUACUCUUCUAUCAGCCCUCUUUUGUCCCUGCUUCUUCUCACUCUCUUCCUUCUUUAUCUGAUUGGAGUUGAUCAGGCACACAGUGCUCCUCCUAGUGGACCACUCGCAGCACUGCAUUUUUCUCCUCUCCCACGGCUGGUUUCUACUGUAUGUAAAAAUUGGACAAGCCUGACUUUUUUCUUUCUACCCCAGUUUAUGUCUGUGCUGGCCAUCAGGGAAUCUUGUAAAAUAACAAUAGAGGAUAAAUAUACAGUACCUAUAAAUACAUGUAUGAUAAACAAUGAGGAAAAAAAAUCAAUCUCAGAGUGGGGGAAAUGGCACUUGGUUUGUCUGUAUCUGUUUUUCUUUGCCGACCGGCGCUGAAACUGAAUGUUUGCAUUUUUCUAUAGUUGUGGAACACCAACUACAGGCCAGCCGAUAAGUUUCUGAAUCUGCAGGGCAUCAGAGCAAACCCCUACCUUUUAUUUCAAGAGUCUGACCCCCCCUUCCCUGUACUUAUCUGACUGGUGUCGCUCAUAAUGGGACUGUGGAUAACACAGGGAACCGCUCUUCUGUCAACUCAGCACCACAGAACUUCUUCCCCUCCCUUGUAAUACCACUACCUGUUUGUAUAUAAAAUUUCCAAUUUCCAAGCCCCUCUGUUCACUCUGCCCAUCCUUACUUUUUUUGUUUUUUAUAAUGUGUAAGAACAAAGUGAACCUUGCCGCUUAAAGCUUGGAUGCUCCUUCUAAGAAUUUGUCUGGUUCUGAGGGAGUCCAUUGGGCAGAAAAGGGCAGGCUUUGCUGGUGAAAAUUGAGCUGUAAAUUUUUUGGGAACUGAAUUUUGCAAAGAUUUAUGGGUUCACCAUGUAUGACUUAGAAAGAGACAAAUGCUAAUAAAAAAAAAGGAAACCCGCAA